rnacentral:snRNA from 1 species
GUGCUUGCUUUGGCAGCACAUAUACUAAAAUUGGAACGAUACAGAGAAGAUUAACAUGGCCCCUGCGCAAGGAUGACAUGAAGCGUUCCAUAUAUUU